rnacentral:snoRNA from 1 species
AGGCACUAUCUUAGAACCUCUGGGUGUCUGACCUGUGAACUCAGUGUCUAGUGACAAUGCCAGAGCAGAUGCAGCUUCUUCAUAUCCAGGGCUAUUUGAUGGUGUCUCCUUAGUGAUUCCUUUAGCAGCAAGUGACAUUU